rnacentral:rRNA from 1 species
UACGUAGGGUGCGAGCGUUACUCGGAAUUACUGGGCGUAAAGCGUGCGCAGGCGGUUUGCUAAGACAGGUGUGAAAUCCCCGGGCUUAACCUGGGAAUGGCGCUUGUUACUGGCAGGCUAGAGUGUGUCAGAGGGAGGUAGAAUUCCACGUGUAGCAGUGAAAUGCGUAGAGAUGGGGAGGAAUACCGAUGGCGAAGGCAGCCUCCUGGGAUAACACUGACGCUCAUGCACGAAAGCGUGGGGAGCAAACAGG